UCCAAUAGCAUACAUUAAAAUUGCUGCAGUUAAAAAGCUCGUAGUUGGAUUUCUGUGAGACCUGAUUUGUUCGGCACGUGUGUCGGGCGCUUCUCUUCUCACAUCCUUCUGUUAACCUUGUGUGCCUUCACCGGCAUACUUGUGGGCUCAGAUACUUUACCUUGAGAAAAUUAGAGUGUUUCAGGCAAGCUUUCGCUUGAAUACAUUAGCAUGGAAUAAUAGAAAAGGACUUCGUUUCAUUUCAUUGGUUAUGAGCGGAGUAAUGAUUAAUAGGGAUAGUUGGGGGCAUUAGUACUUAAUUGUCAGAGGUGAAAUUCUUUGAUUUGUUAAAGACUCACUGAUGCGAAAGCGUUUGCCAAGAAUGUUUUCAUUAAUCAAGAACGAAAGUUAGGGGAUCAAAGACGAUCAGAUACCGUCCUAGUCUUAACUAUAAACUAUGCCGAC
rnacentral:rRNA from 1 species